GGCAAAUCUGCAUCUGCACCGUGUAUACGUCUCAAUAUUCAAAUAGGAAAAUAGGAAAAUGUGCAAUCACGGUCCAUACAUCGCCUUGUAGUGUGACGACUGAGCUUCAAUCGAGCACCACGAGGCCUAUGCGUGAAGCUGCCGCUUACUCUGCAACGGCGACACGCUCACGGAGGCCGUCGGCGGUCACGGUCGGCUCCGACUGAGUGGGUGCGACACGAG
rnacentral:misc_RNA from 1 species